GGUGGUUCUCGGGUGACGCACCCUGGAAUCGGGCUCCCUCUUCUCUGGUUCCGGGUGCAUCACCUGAGAACCUCA
rfam:Myotis brandtii contig275242, whole genome shotgun sequence.